AGCUCCACCGGAUCGACGGCGCGGGUCACCACGAGGUAGUCGCGCAACGCCGUGCUGUGUCGGGCCUC
rnacentral:sRNA from 1 species